CCCAUCCUUUUCCUCUCGUUGUGGUACUGUCCAAUGAAUGUCUAGUGAGGACAGUACUGCUAACCCUAAACAACACAUCCACAUUAGAUAGGGCUUUCUUUACUUUAGUGCAAUUUGAGGGGUG
rfam:Myotis davidii contig134816, whole genome shotgun sequence.